rnacentral:lncRNA from 1 species
GCCGCACGCUUCUUGUUGCCAAAGAAUUUCCUCCCUCGCCGCCGCCGCCGCAGCUCGUCUCGUUGAGAGAAGCUAACGGAGCCGAGGAACUCGCUGAGUUCUAGGAGAGAAUCCUUUUCGCUGGUCUCUGCCAGGUUCUGCUGCGUCGGGAGGCGGUGAAGGGGGGAAAUUCGUGAGAUCUGUUCCGGAUCACGCGUGCGCGCUCGGGAAUCGGGGGGUUCCACACAUAGCUUCGUUGAAUUGUAAGUUUCACCUGGCCUAUUCCCCUUUUAGCCUGCUUUAGCUUGUAGAUUUUAGAUUUAUUCUGCAUGUUAUGUGUUGUUAUCUUUUUUUUUCUGGCGACUAGAUUUGAUUUGCUAUUUCUGUGAGGAUUAGUGCUUGGAAUAGGUUUGUUUUGUGAUUACUUGAAACUCGAUGGUAGGAGAAGUACUGUUUACUUUUAUUCAGAUUUCGAUACAUGAAUAUGAAAUACAGAUUUAUGCGAGUACUCAAAAGAUUUGAGUUUGCGGCUUUAGGAAUUUAUUGAGGUCGUACAAGAUUAAUCUUUGAUGAUUCUUACAGAUCUGCGAUUAAAAUUGCUUCGUUAGUGUGAAUAUUCCACCCGUUUGGUUACAAUUUGUUGGAAAUAUUCAUUUGGCCAAAACAUUCCCUAUACUCGGUAUAAACCUGGUAUGUUGUGAUGUUUUCUUGUAACAGUAGCUCCAGCAUGAAUGGUUGACUUCCUUGCCUAACUUCUGAUGUUCAUAAAAAGCAGAAAAAAUGUUGUUAGAAAUUGUUGAUGUAAUGGACUCAUUAAUUUUCCCAUUCCUGCAGGAAUUUGAUGUACUAAUGGAGUCUAAGGGUGGCAAGAAGUCUAGCAGUAGUCGUUCCAUGAUGUAUGAAGCUCCCCUUGGCUACAGCAUUGAGGACGUUCGACCUGCCGGAGGCGAGAAGAAGUUCCAGUCUGCUGCUUACUCCAACGUAAGAAUCAAUAAUCAUUGUUAUACUCUUCAUUCUACUUUUGUUGUUUCUGAUUUGUUGCUAACAUUGUCUUUUUCUACUGCAGUGCGCGAAGAAGCCAUCCUGAUAUCCCUUCCGUGCUUCCCCGUCCUAGUAGUUUAGGAUUUCUUUUCUAACGCUUUGAUUCUGACCAAUCUCUCUGGCCUGCUGCUUCCUGAUAAUCGACCAGUUCUCGAGUCUUGCUCCCUGCACUCCUCCCUCCAUCUCCAGCAUCGUUUUCUCACUCACCCGCUCCAAUGGCUGUUCUUUCUGCUGCUGACGCUCACCCGGUCUCAGCGAUCGGGUUUGAGGGCUAUGAGAAGCGCCUUGAGAUCACCUUCUCUGAGGCGCCUGUCUUUGUCGACCCUCAUGGGCGUGGUUUGCGUGCCCUUUCCAGGGCCCAGAUUGAUUCUGUUUUGGAUCUUGCACGGUGCACCAUCGUGUCCGAGCUCUCCAACAAGGAUUUUGACUCCUAUGUCCUCUCUGAGUCGAGCCUGUUUAUCUAUCCUCUGAAGAUUGUCAUCAAAACAUGUGGGACUACCAAGCUCCUGCUCACCAUUCCAAGGAUUAUUGAGCUUGCUGAAGAGCUGUCUAUGCCGCUUGCUGCUGUGAAGUACUCCCGUGGGAUGUUCAUCUUCCCCGGUGCACAGCCAGCCCCCCACAGGAGCUUCUCUGAGGAGGUUGCUGCCCUUAACCGCUACUUUGGUGGCCUGAAGUCUGGUGGUAAUGCUUAUGUGAUUGGAGAUCCUGCAAGACCUGGACAGAAGUGGCACAUCUACUAUGCCACCGAGUACCCAGAGCAACCCAUGGUUAACCUUGAGAUGUGCAUGACUGGUCUGGACAAGAAGAAAGCUUCAGUCUUUUUCAAGACUUCUGCUGAUGGCCACACAACGUGUGCCAAAGAAAUGACCAAGCUCUCUGGUAUCUCUGAAAUUAUUCCUGAGAUGGAGAUCUGUGAUUUUGACUUUGAACCCUGCGGCUACUCCAUGAACGCUAUCCAUGGCUCUGCUUUCUCCACCAUUCAUGUGACGCCUGAGGAUGGUUUCAGCUAUGCCAGCUAUGAAGUUAUGGGCUUCGACGCCACUGCACUUGCCUACGGCGACCUCGUGAAGAGGGUCCUCAGGUGCUUUGGCCCUUCGGAGUUCUCUGUUGCUGUGACUAUCUUUGGUGGGCGUGGCCAAGCCGCGACAUGGGGCAUGAAGCUUGAUGCUGAGGUUUACGACUGCAACAACAUGGUAGAGCAGGAGCUGCCCGGUGGUGUGCUUAUCUACCAGAGCUUUUCUGUUACUGAAGAUGCUAUUGUUGGCUCGCCCAAAUCUGUUCUUCAUUGCUUCGAGGGUGAGAACCUGGAGAAUGCUGCUCCUGUGAAGGACGGCAAACUGGCUAAUCUUCUCUGCUGGGAGGAAGAGGAUGCCAUGGAGGAGAAGGACGGCGUGCUUGCUGAGUAAGACUGGGGAAGGUGUCGAUUUGCUGCUGAGUUAUUUUUUUUUCUAAAUGUUGCGAUUGUCGUUUGGUUAUUGUGUGAAGCAGCCAAGCCAGGCUAUUUAUUAUGAAAAUGAUCGAUUGUAAGCAUGGGUUCUGAUGUGCCACAUGCUAAUGAUCAAUCUGAAUAAGUAUACCGCUCUAGGUGGUCAGCUGCGUCUACCACAAUGAGCAUACGUAUGGAGAAAUGUCUGUCAAAGCAAUUUAUGA